GCCGGCAGAGCCCUUAAGUCACUCUUCUGCAUUGGCUGGGACCUCUGAGGCCGUCUGAAGUGCUUCCAGAAUCCUCCAUUAUUUUCCUCACACCUCCACUUGGAAAAGGUCAAAAAAUGCACUGGGAUAGAAGACAUCAAGCCCUUCCAAUGGCGACCGAAAGAGCUCUGCCCCACUCUUCCUCCCUCUCCUCUCUGUUUGUUAGGGGUGGCUGGAGCUCACAGGCAGAGGCAAAGGAAAUUCCCCUGAAACAACAAAUGAGGAGGAAUAGGACAAUACAUCUCAAAGCACCAGAGCCUGCUUCCCCACCAUCUUAUAGUCAGUCACAACACACAGAGCUACAGUAGCCUGUAGCUACUUGCCACUGUGACAGGAGACAAGGCUACUGCACUCGACAUCACAAGAUGAAAGAGAAAAAAAAUUGAGGGUUUCUGAAAAGAUCA
rnacentral:lncRNA from 1 species